CUAGAAUGUAUUAAAGGAUGAGAGAUCUAAACAAGUUUCAAAUUCAGAUUAUUAUAUAGAUCAAGACAAGGAAACAUGAGGAAAGUGGGACUGCCAAGAUGAAUAGACAUAAUCCUCGAUUUAACCACUUCACAGUUUAUCAUCGGAGUCAAGUUUGCAGAUAAACAAUUGCCAUGCAACUUUCAAGCUCACUUCUCAGCUACCUAGGGCAAAAGCUGCUGCCAGAGUUCUAACAUUCAUAU